AGCGUACACGGUGGAUGCCCUGGCAGUCAGAGGCGAUGAAGGACGUGCUAAUCUGCGAAAAGCGCCGGCGAGGUGAUAUGAACCUUUGACCCGGCGAUGUCCGAAUGGGGAAACCCAGUGCAAUUCGUUGCACUAUCGUUAACUGAAUACAUAGGUUAACGAGGCGAACCGGGGGAACUGAAACAUCUAAGUACCCCGAGGAAAAGAAAUCAACCGAGAUUCCCCCAGUAGCGGCGAGCGAACGGGGAGCAGCCCAGAGUCUGAAUCAGCUUGUGUGUUAGUGGAAGCGUCUGGAAAGUCGCACGGUACAGGGUGACAGUCCCGUACACGAAAGCACACAGGUUGUGAACUCGAAGAGUAGGGCGGGACACGUGGUAUCCUGUCUGAAUAUGGGGGGACCAUCCUCCAAGGCUAAAUACUCCUGACUGACCGAUAGUGAACCAGUACCGUGAGGGAAAGGCGAAAAGAACCCCGGCGAGGGGAGUGAAAAAGAACCUGAAACCGUGUACGUACAAGCAGUGGGAGCACCCUUGUGGUGUGACUGCGUACCUUUUGUAUAAUGGGUCAGCGACUUAUAUUCUGUAGCAAGGUUAACCGUAUAGGGGAGCCGAAGGGAAACCGAGUCUUAACUGGGCGUUAAGUUGCAGGGUAUAGACCCGAAACCCGGUGAUCUAGCCAUGGGCAGGUUGAAGGUUGGGUAACACUAACUGGAGGACCGAACCGACUAAUGUUGAAAAAUUAGCGGAUGACUUGUGGCUGGGGGUGAAAGGCCAAUCAAACCGGGAGAUAGCUGGUUCUCCCCGAAAGCUAUUUAGGUAGCGCCUCGUGAACUCAUCUUCGGGGGUAGAGCACUGUUUCGGCUAGGGGGCCAUCCCGGCUUACCAACCCGAUGCAAACUACGAAUACCGAAGAAUGUUAUCACGGGAGACACACGGCGGGUGCUAACGUCCGUCGUGAAGAGGGAAACAACCCAGACCGCCAGCUAAGGUCCCAAAGUCAUGGUUAAGUGGGAAACGAUGUGGGAAGGCACAGACAGCCAGGAUGUUGGCUUAGAAGCAGCCAUCAUUUAAAGAAAGCGUAAUAGCUCACUGGUCGAGUCGGCCUGCGCGGAAGAUGUAACGGGGCUAAACCAUGCACCGAAGCUGCGGCAGCGACGCGUAUGCGUUGUUGGGUAGGGGAGCGUUCUGUAAGCCGUUGAAGGUGUGCUGUGAGGCAUGCUGGAGGUAUCAGAAGUGCGAAUGCUGACAUAAGUAACGAUAAAGCGGGUGAAAAGCCCGCUCGCCGGAAGACCAAGGGUUCCUGUCCAACGUUAAUCGGGGCAGGGUGAGUCGACCCCUAAGGCGAGGCCGAAAGGCGUAGUCGAUGGGAAACAGGUUAAUAUUCCUGUACUUGGUGUUACUGCGAAGGGGGGACGGAGAAGGCUAUGUUAGCCGGGCGACGGUUGUCCCGGUUUAAGCAUGUAGGCGGAGGUUCCAGGUAAAUCCGGUACCUUUUAACGCUGAGGUGUGAUGACGAGGCACUACGGUGCUGAAGUAACAAAUGCCCUGCUUCCAGGAAAAGCCUCUAAGCAUCAGGUAACACGAAAUCGUACCCCAAACCGACACAGGUGGUCAGGUAGAGAAUACCAAGGCGCUUGAGAGAACUCGGGUGAAGGAACUAGGCAAAAUGGUGCCGUAACUUCGGGAGAAGGCACGCUGAUAUGUAGGUGAAGCCCCUGCGGGUGGAGCUGAAAUCAGUCGAAGAUACCAGCUGGCUGCAACUGUUUAUUAAAAACACAGCACUGUGCAAACACGAAAGUGGACGUAUACGGUGUGACGCCUGCCCGGUGCCGGAAGGUUAAUUGAUGGGGUUAGCGGCAACGCGAAGCUCUUGAUCGAAGCCCCGGUAAACGGCGGCCGUAACUAUAACGGUCCUAAGGUAGCGAAAUUCCUUGUCGGGUAAGUUCCGACCUGCACGAAUGGCGUAAUGAUGGCCAGGCUGUCUCCACCCGAGACUCAGUGAAAUUGAACUCGCUGUGAAGAUGCAGUGUACCCGCGGCAAGACGGAAAGACCCCGUGAACCUUUACUAUAGCUUGACACUGAACACUGGUCCUUGAUGUGUAGGAUAGGUGGGAGGCUUUGAAGCGUGGACGCCAGUCUGCGUGGAGCCGUCCUUGAAAUACCACCCUUUAAUGGCUGGUGUUCUAACGUAGACCCGUAAUCCGGGUUGCGGACAGUGUCUGGUGGGUAGUUUGACUGGGGCGGUCUCCUCCCAAAGAGUAACGGAGGAGCACGAAGGUUAGCUAAUCCUGGUCGGACAUCAGGAGGUUAGUGCAAUGGCAUAAGCUAGCUUGACUGCGAGAGUGACGGCUCGAGCAGGUGCGAAAGCAGGUCAUAGUGAUCCGGUGGUUCUGAAUGGAAGGGCCAUCGCUCAACGGAUAAAAGGUACUCCGGGGAUAACAGGCUGAUACCGCCCAAGAGUUCAUAUCGACGGCGGUGUUUGGCACCUCGAUGUCGGCUCAUCACAUCCUGGGGCUGAAGUAGGUCCCAAGGGUAUGGCUGUUCGCCAUUUAAAGUGGUACGCGAGCUGGGUUUAGAACGUCGUGAGACAGUUCGGUCCCUAUCUGCCGUGGGCGCUGGAGAAUUGAGGGGGGCUGCUCCUAGUACGAGAGGACCGGAGUGGACGCAUCACUGGUGUUCGGGUUGUCAUGCCAAUGGCACUGCCCGGUAGCUAAAUGCGGAAAAGAUAAGUGCUGAAAGCAUCUAAGCACGAAACUUGCCCCGAGAUGAGUUCU
rnacentral:rRNA from 1 species